GGCGAAGAUGAAGAGUGCUUUUUAUUUCUGACACCUCUUGUAUGAGAAAAGCUUUUCGAAGGUUUUUCCUUGAGCAGAGACAGCAAACUCUCUGAGCC